AUUGAACGCUGGCGGCAGGCCUAACACAUGCAAGUCGAACGAGUGGCGGACGGGUGAGUAAUGUCUGGGAAACUGCCCGCUGGUGGGGGAUAACUACUGGAAACGGUAGCUAAUACCGCAUACCAUCGGAUGUUCCCAGAUGGGAUUAGCUAGUAGGUGGGGUAACGGGUCACCUAGGGGACGAUCUCUAGCUGGUCUGAGAGGAUGACCAGCCACACUGGAGCUGAGACACGGUCAAGACUCCUACGAGAGGGAGCAGAGGGGAAUGGUACACAGUGGGCGCAAGCAUGAUGCAACGAUGCGGAGUGUAUGGAGAAGGCCGUCGGGUUGUAAAGUACUUCCAGGGAGGAGGCGUUACUCGCAGAAGAAGCACCGGCUAACUCCGUGCCAGCAGCCGCGGUAAUAC
rnacentral:rRNA from 1 species